rnacentral:rRNA from 1 species
GAGAAAUCUCAACCGCUUCAACCUGCCAACGACUUGCCAGCCCUGUUGGUGAACUCCAAAAUCGUCGAUGGAUUGAGCCUGAAAUCUCAACCCACUCAUCAGGAAGGAGAGAUAACGCUGUUCUGCGUGACUUUGCACUCCAUGACCCGAUAUCCAAGGUAUCA